UACGAAGGGGGCGAGCGUUGUUCGGAAUUACUGGGCGUAAAGGGCGCGCAGGCGGCCUUAGAAGUCAGAUGUGAAAGCCCCCGGGCUCAACCUGGGAAUGGCAUUUGAUACUCUGAGGCUGGAGUACGGGAGAGGAGAGUGGAAUUCCCAGUGUAGAGGUGAAAUUCGUAGAUAUUGGGAAGAACACCGGUGGCGAAGGCGGCUACUCUGGACCGUAACUGACGCUGAGACGCGAAAGCGUGGGGAGCAAACAGG
rnacentral:rRNA from 1 species